rnacentral:rRNA from 1 species
ACUGAACGCUGGCGGCAUGCCUUACACAUGCAAGUCGAACGGUAACAGGUCUUCGGAUGCUGACGAGUGGCGAACGGGUGAGUAAUACAUCGGAACGUGCCCGAGAGUGGGGGAUAACGAGGCGAAAGCUUUGCUAAUACCGCAUACGAUCUCAGGAUGAAAGCAGGGGACCGCAAGGCCUUGCGCUCACGGAGCGGCCGAUGGCAGAUUAGGUAGUUGGUGGGAUAAAGCUUACCAAGCCGACGAUCUGUAGCUGGUCUGAGAGGACGACCAGCCACACUGGGACUGAGACACGGCCCAGACUCCUACGGGAGGCAGCAGUGGGGAAUUUUGGACAAUGGGCGCAAGCCUGAUCCAGCCAUGCCGCGUGCAGGAUGAAGGCCUUCGGGUUGUAAACUGCUUUUGUACGGAACGAAAAGACUCUGGUUAAUACCUGGGGUCCAUGACGGUACCGUAAGAAUAAGCACCGGCUAACUACGUGCCAGCCGCCGCUGUAAUAC